UACAGAGGUCCCAAGCGUUGUUCGGAUUCACUGGGCGUAAAGGGUGCGUAGGCGGUCGGGUAAGUCUGGCGUGAAAUCUCCAAGCCUAACUUGGAAACUGCGUUGGAUACUAUCCGGCUCGAGGAAUGGAGGGGAGACUGGAAUACUUGGUGUAGCAGUGAAAUGCGUAGAUAUCAAGUGGAACACCAGUGGCGAAGGCGGUUGCCUGGGGCUUUGCUGACGCUGAUGCGCGAAAGCGUGGGGAGCGAUCCGG
rnacentral:rRNA from 1 species